UACAGAGGUCCCGAGCGUUGUUCGGAUUCAUUGGGCGUAAAGGGUGCGCAGGCGGCCAGAUGUGUGAGGCGUGAAAGCCCGGGGCUUAACCCCGGAAUUGCACCUCAAACUAUUUGGCUAGAGCAUUGGAGAGGGAAGCGGAAUUCACGGUGUAGCAGUGAAAUGCGUAGAUAUCGUGAGGAACACCAGAGGCGAAGGCGGCUUCCUGGACAAUUGCUGACGCUCAGGCACGAAAGCGUGGGGAGCAAAAGGG
rnacentral:rRNA from 1 species